rnacentral:rRNA from 1 species
UAGGGAAUCUUCCACAAUGGACGCAAGUCUGAUGGAGCAACGCCGCGUGAGUGAAGAAGGUCUUCGGAUCGUAAAGCUCUGUUGUUGGUGAAGAAGGAUAGAGGUAGUAACUGGUCUUUAUUUGACGGUAAUCAACCAGAAAGUCACGGCUAACUACGUGCCAGCAGCCGCGGUAAUACGUAGGUGGCAAGCGUUGUCCGGAUUUAUUGGGCGUAAAGCGAGCGCAGGCGGAAUGAUAAGUCUGAUGUGAAAGCCCACGGCUCAACCGUGGAACUGCAUCGGAAACUGUCAUUCUUGAGUGCAGAAGAGGAGAGUGGAACUCCAUGUGUAGCGGUGGAAUGCGUAGAUAUAUGGAAGAACACCAGUGGCGAAGGCGGCUCUCUGGUCUGCAACUGACGCUGAGGCUCGAAAGCAUGGGUAGCGAACAGGAUUAGAUACCCUGGUAGUCCAUGCCGUAAACGAUGAGCGCUAGGUGUUGGGGACUUUCCGGUCCUCAGUGCCGCAGCAAACGCAUUAAGCGCUCCGCCUGGGGAGUACGACCGCAAGGUUGAAACG